rnacentral:rRNA from 1 species
ACAUGCCUACAACACAGCGUUAAUGAACCAGAUCCCAUUAGAACUCCACAGUUAAGCACACUCAAUCUAGAGUAUUACUGGGAUGGGUGAUCGCUUGGGAAGACCUAGUGUUUUACAUGCC